GACAGAGGUCCCGAGCGUUUAGGCGGAAUCACUGGGCUUAAAGCGUGUGUAGGCGGAUUGGUAAGUACCUUGUGAAAUCCCACGGCUCAACCGUGGAACUGCUUGGUAUACUGCUUAUCUUGGGCCACUUAGGGGUUACCGGAACAAACGGUGGAGCGGUGAAAUGCGUAGAUAUCGUUUGGAACGCCAAUGGUGAAAACAGGUAACUGGGAGUGUGCCGACGCUGAGACACGAAAGCCAGGGGAGCGAACGGG
rnacentral:rRNA from 1 species